rnacentral:rRNA from 1 species
GAUGAACGCUGGCGGCGUGCCUAAUACAUGCAAGUCGAGCGAACGGACGAGAAGCUUGCUUCUCUGAUGUUAGCGGCGGACGGGUGAGUAACACGUGGAUAACCUACCUAUAAGACUGGGAUAACUUCGGGAAACCGGAGCUAAUACCGGAUAAUAUUUUGAACCGCAUGGUUCAAAAGUGAAAGACGGUCUCGCUGUCACUUAUAGAUGGAUCCGCGCUGCAUUAGCUAGUUGGUAAGGUAACGGCUUACCAAGGCAACGAUGCAUAGCCGACCUGAGAGGGUGAUCGGCCACACGGGAACUGGAACACGGUCCAGACUACUACGGGAGGCAGCAGUAGGGAAUAUUCCGCAAUGGGCGAAAGCCUGACGGAGGAACGGCGCGUGGGUGAAGAAGGGCUUCGGAUCGUAAAACUCUGUUAUUAGGGAAGAACAUAUGUGUAAGUAACUGUGCACAUCUUGACGGUACCUAAUCAGAAAGCAACGGCUAACUACGUG